GCCAGGUGUGGUGGCUCACGCCUGUAAUCCCAGCACUUUGGGAGGCCGAGGUGGGCAGAUCAUGAGGUCCAGAGGUCGAGAUCAUCCUGGUCAACAUGGCGAAACCCCAUCUCUACUAAAAAUACAAAAAUUUGCUUCCUGGGUUCAAGUGAUUCUCCUGCCUCAGCCUCCCAAGUAGCUGGUACUACAGGUGGGCACCAUCAUGCCCGGCUAAUUUUUGUAUUUUGAGUAGAGACGGGGUUUCGUCAUGUUAGCCAGGCUGUUCUUGACCUCCUAACCUCAAGUGAUCCACCCAUCU
rnacentral:lncRNA from 10 species